rnacentral:rRNA from 1 species
AGAACUGAGGGGGGCUGCUCCUAGUACGAGAGGACCGGAGUGGACGCAUCACUGGUGUUCGGGUUGUCAUGCCAAUGGCACUGCCCGGUAGCUAAAUGCGGAAGAGAUAAGUGCUGAAAGCAUCUAAGCACGAAACUUGCCCCGAGAUGAGUUCUCCCUGACCCUUUAAGGGUCCUGAAGGAACGUUGAAGACGACGACGUUGAUAGGCCGGGUGUGUAAGCGCAGCGAUGCGUUGAGCUAACCGGUACUAAUGAACCGUGAGGCUUAACCUUACAACGCCGAAGGUGUUU